CCAUAUUAAUGCAGAGUGUGCAGAGUGAGAGGGAGAAGCACCCAUAUAUUUCAUAGCAUCUGACGGGUUCAUAGUUAAGUUCCGGAUGCACUGUUGCCAUCUAGGAAAAAAAUCGUUUUCGUAAAAUCAGUCAGCGUAUAAUAAUCUCCUCGGUACUCGUUGCUGUUUCGUACACUGUAAUACUUAUUUGGGAAUGACUGUCUAAUGUUAGAAGCUUCAAAAAUAUUUAACGGUCCCUGUUCUUGCUAAGUGAGUAGUAGAGACGUAGACUUCAACAGAGGAGAGUGUUGUCUUCGAAGCUUCGUAUCUCAUUCGUCAUCCACUCCUGCAUCUCUUCGUGCGAUGUCGCUUGAGAAGACAUUCACGGUUGCUCUUCUUCUACUGGCUCCUUUGCUAAUAUGGAAUUGCGUCAUCACCGCCACUAGGCAAAUUGACAAUGGGGGGAUUGGUUCCUGCAAUCAAAACUGUACCUUCUACGCAAAUGGAAGCAGCAGUCCUUGCAGCGACAAUUGUUCUUGCAUUAGCAACAAUUAUGACUUUUUAGGAAACCCACAAAACCCAGCAGGACCAGGAACAUGCUAUGAGAGUCACGGGCAGACAACUUCGGGAGCAAAACAUCCAUAAAGAUCAGCUUUCUCUGCUUGUGGUAUUCUGUUUUAGAAUUACAAUAAAAAACUGCCUAUACACGG